AUUGAACGCUGGCGGUAUGCUUUACACAUGCAAGUCGAACGGUAGAGGGGGCAACCCCUUGAGAGUGGCGAACGGGUGAGUAAUAUAUCGGAACGUGCCCAGUCGUGGGGAUAACGUAGCGAAAGUUACGCUAAUACCGCAUACGAUCUAAGGAUGAAAGCGGGGGACUCGCAAGAGCCUCGCGCGAUUGGAGCGGCCGAUAUCAGAUUAGGUAGUUGGUGAGGUAAAGGCUCACCAAGCCGACGAUCUGUAGCUGGUCUGAGAGGACGACCAGCCACACUGGGACUGAGACACGGCCCAGACUCCUACGGGAGGCAGCAGUGGGGAAUAUUGGACAAGUGGGCGCAAGCCUGAUCCAGCCAUGCCGCGUGAGUGAUGAA
rnacentral:rRNA from 1 species